rnacentral:lncRNA from 1 species
AUUUUGUUCGCGGACGCUGGGGACGGUGGGAGCAGAUCCAUUUCCGGGUUGGCAAAAGGGGCGGUGGCGGCGGCGGCGGCGGCGGCGGCGGCGGCGACGGCGAGAAAGAGCUUGCCGGGGGGCGAGCAGGACAGGACGAAGCCGGAGUGUAGGCGGCAGAGGAUUCGCUCCCAGAGCAGCUGCGGCCAGGUAUAUGAAUGACCUAAAGGUACAAAUAAAGACGGAGAGAGAACAGUGCCAACUGGGAGCAGGGCAAGAAUGCCAAUUCCUCCUCCCCCGCCACCCCCACCUGGUCCUCCUCCACCUCCCACAUUUCAUCAGCUCCUCCACCCCCACCACCUGUGAUCCGAAAUGGUGCCAGGGAUGCUCCCCCUCCCCCACCACCAUACCGAAUGCAUGGGUCAGAACCCCCGAGCCGAGGAAAGCCCCCACCUCCACCCUCAAGGACGCCAGCUGGGCCACCCCCUCCUCCUCCACCGCCCCUGAGGAAUGGCCACAGAGAUUCUAUCACCACUGUCCGGUCUUUCUUGGAUGAUUUUGAGUCAAAGUAUUCCUUCCAUCCAGUAGAAGACUUUCCUGCU